GGAUGAACGCUGGCGGCGUGCCUACUCCAUGCAAGUCGAGCGAACAGACGAGGAGCUUGCUCCUCUGACGUUAGCGGCGGACGGGUGAGUAACACGUGGAUAACCUACCUAUAAGACUGGGAUAACUUCGGGAAACCGGAGCUAAUACCGGAUAAUAUAUUGAACCGCAUGGUUCAAUAGUGAAAGACGGUUUUGCUGUCACUUAUAGAUGGAUCCGCGCCGCAUUAGCUAGUUGGUAAGGUAACGGCUUACCAAGGCGACGAUGCGUAGCCGACCUGAGAGGGUGAUCGGCCACACUGGAACUGAGGCACGGUCCAGACUCCUACGGGAGGCAGCAGUAGGGAAUCUUCCGCAAUGGGCGAAAGCCUGACGGAGCAACGCCGCGUGAGUGAUGAAGGUCUUCGGAUCGUAAAACUCUGUUAUUAGGGAAGAACAAAUGUGUAAGUAACUAUGCACGUCUUGACGGUACCUAAUCAGAAAGCCACGGCUAACUACGUG
rnacentral:rRNA from 1 species